AGCAGCUAUCCUUUUGCAUUCAGAAGAAAACAGAAUACCUGCAUGCAAAGCCAAUCCCCCCGUAAUAGGACGGCCAUGGUUUCACCUGCACCUGCUGCAAGCAACUCCAGGCUUAGCACAGCUCUGUGCAGCAGGCAGGAGACUCCUGAGAAGGGGCCCCUGGUGGGGGUGGUAGCAAAAGUUCUACCCACAUCAUACCGUUGCAGCACACAAGAGCAGGAUUUAUUACACUACAGAAUCCAGGAACGGCACUGCAUAUUCUCAAGCGCCAUCUACCGGUAUUUUACCUGAGAACUGCUCGUAUGCAUACAAUCACCCUUUAUUUUGAAUUAAGCCCUACAUAAGGAAAAGACAAGGGUGUGAGUGACAUGCCAAAAGAUCCACAGUUACGUGGGAGGGAAGAGAUGCACUGCUUUAGCACUGCAUGUUGGGAAAGGCAUUCAACCUGCACCUGGUCACCUCAACACAUCAGACAUACGCAAAGAUUUAGACUGUAUGUCCGUCAGUGUCGUUCUCGCUCACCUUUGAAGCUUCUGCACUCACUGGAUAACACCUAUGGCAUUCACCAAUUAGGGAUCUGCCUACAGGAAGGAGGAAGACAAGGCCCUUUUUCAGGGCUCUGACCUUCAGAGAGAAAUGGAAAGAUGAGGGUCAGCUACCUAUGUACCUGCAUAAAGGAGAUAAAUCAAAUUCUCUGCUGCAGAGGGAACACACGCAGGGUGUCCUCCAUAUGUGAGCAAGGAGAGGUUGAGACAAAAGCACUAUGGUGCAUACACCUUUCACCCGGCAGCCUAACAAAUGACACAUUCUGGAAAUUUAAAGCCUCUGUGAUUUUAUCUACAGGAAACUUUUUUUUUUUCCUCCCUCCCCUAUUCAUUUCUGAAUGGAAGUGAAAGAAAAAAGAACCAGGGUAUUUGCCCAUCUGCAGUAAGGACCAAACUUACGGCUGAUUUUAUAAGGUGCAAGGCUCUACUGAAGGAAACAUUCAACUGGUUAAGCCAUAUAUGCAGAGUGCCUGGAAACCACUGUUACUUCUUAGGGAAAUAAUUAUUAAUACAAAAAUAAUUAUUAAUACAGAUAACAAUAUAAAAUAAUAUACAAAUGUGUUGAACGAGAACAGUGCACACUGCUGACAGUGGAAGGUGGCCAUGUGGAACAUGCUGCAUUUGCCUGCACUGAGCCAACAGGACAGUAAGAGCCAGAAACACCAUUCUUGCUUCUAACACCAUCCUGCUAUUUUAAGCUAGCCAGACAAAAAUAAUUCAUGUGAGAAUUUUAAAAAUGGCUUUCUAAAGAAAGAGAUUAUUUUUUCCCUCUGCUUAAUUGAUUUUACUCUCACUUUCCCUUCUGUUUCCUCUCCUUGAAAAAGAAGUGCCACAGGCAUUAGAGGAGGUAUUUUAAUACCAAAAUUAUCCUAGAAAAUAAGUUUAAUCACACACCCCAACGUUUUCAGAAAGGAGGAUGUAAAAUAUGGCAUAUUUUGACACUUACAAAGAAGAAAUGCCUUGAGCUGGAGUGGCUGGAAACUUUUCUUGAGAAUCUCCUGUUUUGUCCUUUUAUUUCACAUAAUUUUUGAGUUUCAUAUGACUUUUAGAUGGCCUCUUCUUCCUAUGUUGCAACAGUUUAUAUAUCAGGUUAAGUACCCCACAAACCAGUUCAGCCACAGAACAGCGCUGCAGGUUCAGCCUCAGUCACAGGAUGAUGCUGAGGAGUAGGAGGAUUCCUUGAUAUCCAAGCACUGCUGCUUUGCUGUGUUCUCCCACAGUUCAUUCGUGUCACAGACAGUGAACAGGAAGGUUCCUUCAUCCUAUGACAGUGGGAUAAAACCCACUCUGCAGACACAGGGCAAAAACACGAGCCUGACUUCUAAGCCUCAUUUCAAUGCAUUGUUUAAUUCCACGCUUCUGAGACCUUGAGCAUUUGUGUUUGAGGCAGAGUCAAGAGAGAGGCAGCUCAGCUAAAAAGCACAAGAGGACUGAGUUGAUGAAAAAAAAUAAAAAUAAAAGCAAACCAUCUGAUAAAAGCAUAACUCAGAAACUGGAUAGAAGCCAAGAAAGUGUUGCAGAGUGCUGACUGCAAAGUGAUAGACAGAGGUUUCCAUUUCACACGUUGUCAUUAUAAUCUUGCGGUCCCAGUUCUACAAUGUCAUGACAAAUUCCUCCUACAAAGAGGAAUUAGAAAGGAGUAGAAGAGAAGAAAUAACUACACAGCCCAGAAAAGGAAACAUAGGAAGGGGAGGGGGCAUUUGUUUACAUGUUCAGCUAUUUGCAGCAUAGAGAUUUUCCAUUCACAACCGGAACUCUCAUGCUCCUGAAGGCAAAGACAAAAGGCCAAGAUAAAACCAGAAAGUGUUUUGGAGUAGCUGGAUGAUGUGUUCCAUUUCCAGACAUAAUUGACACAGACUAAAUUUCAAGAGUACAAGUGCCAGGAAACUCACAGAGCUGUCAGACAAUCAGAAGAUCCUCUUGUGACUCACCCUAAUCCUCUGAGAUAGUUGCCUGUCUCUUGAGAAGAGCCAGAGCCCUUCAAUGAAGAGGACGAUGACAUAACAAAUACCUCUGUUGCUCGGCUCUUAGGAGCCUCUAUAUGCUCUAUAUGAAAAAAUUUCAAUUUCAGUCUGUCUACUGAGGCACUAUUGAGAAAAUGCUAUAGCUCAUAAUCCUCCAAAAAAAAAAUAAUUACUGGGAGUCUCACCUUGAAUGGAAGCAAAAGCAUAUUGAACGAGUAGAUGUCACAGAGUGCUGUUAGUAACUGAAAAAUAAAAUCAAUGACAAGGGAAGAGGGGAUGUCUGGAUCUCUGUUUUUUUGUUCCAUAGAGCUAUCCCUGUGCUUCCUUCUAUUCGUAAAACAAAACGUGAAAAAUACAGAGGGACAUAAGAGACAUCAUGGAGAAGCUAAAGGAGAAGACGGCAAAGCAGAUGUCGCAUCUGAGAAGAAUGGAAGAAGUGACCAAAUGGUGGGCAGAAUGAAAAGUAAAUAAAGUCACUGUUCACUUGUGCUCUGAUUUCUGCUUUUCAUCUCUAGCGGUAAGAUGCAGUGUUCGUGUGUGCUUUAUUCCCUAAAAGCACUCCAGAGUCUUCGCUGCUAUACUCUUAAAAAAUGCAUCUUUAAAAAUGACGAUAAUUCACUAAAUACUUACACCAGACUUAAUUUCAUUUCAAGACAUCAACUGAACCGGAAUAGAAAACCUUCAUUUUCAUAGCAAAACUUUGCACCUCAUAAAGGUUUUAUCUGUUGCUAUGGCACAGGUUUUACCCAAAGGAGUUACUUGCAGAAUAGCACAAGAAGGAGGAAUUUUCCAGUUCCUUUCAUAUACACAUUUUCAUACGCCAGAUAUUUUAAUUUAGUCAUAUUUUUCCUUCAUCCUUUGGAGAGUUUAUUUUAUUUCUGAAUAAGCUGCAUGUCUACCUCAGCAGCAUGGGGGGAUUCAUUCUUAUCCUCUUCCCCACUGUAAAUCAAAAUCUACUUUUAAUUACGGAAUAUCAGCUAUUUCUCUUUGAUGACAUUCAAGUGCUUAUUCUAAAUUGAAAGAGCAAUAGAGCAACUGCCAUGGUAUUUUCAUACAUAGAGCAAUGACCUUUUUCAUAUGAUUUCCUGGAAACAAUGGAAGUACAUUCAUCAGGUUAUACAGAAAUUGGUGCUGCUUUUUUUUUUUUUUUUAGACAUUCCACUUUCAAUUCACAAUGACAUUUGAUAGGAGACAUAAAAAUGUCAAUAGAUCAGCUUUUUUUUCUUCAGCAACCUCAUCUGACAAGAAUUUCCCCAUCCCUGUUUCUUUUUUACAGCACUAUGUUGUUCACUCAUUUGGGCCUACUUCAAAUUGCUUAUUAAAUAUGUAAGAUAUUCAUUAUGCAACCAGGAGUUGAAUCAUGUAAGAUUAACACGAAGCCCGAGUGAGAGGAUUCUUUUUUAACAUUAUUAAUAUUAAUAGAAUGUGCAGCUCACAUAUUUUCGUACUUCCCAAACCCAAAUGUCAAUACAGUGGAUAAGUUGUACUUUCCUUUCUCAUCUUGUCUUCUCUAAAGAAAGGAUGACAUUCAACUUAAAUAAAAGCAAAACUUCACACAUUUCCAGCUAGGUUCCAUUUCUGAAUCCAAACAUUCAUGGUUACCAUGGACUGUCUGGCCACUGAUACAAGAGAAAGGGUAACCUGAGGAAAUAACUAAAAGCAUUUCUAUUAUUUGUGUUGACUUACGCAACUUCAUAAAUCAUACAGUUCAUACACAAGCAGCAGAUUUCACUGAUGGCCUAAUGGGCAUUGCUAUAUUUGACUACUAGGAACCUGGUCUUGAAACCUUGCAGAGAACUUGAGGAAAACUGAGAUGCUUAGAUGGUAUCCAAAGCAGACAAAGCAAGCUGAGGAGGAGCAGCUUCAACUUAAUCAGUAUGCAAUGAUGGAAGAAAAAUCCAUCUUAAAUAUACUUCUUGUCUUUACCCUGAAACAUAC
ensembl:lncRNA